AGGCGUCGACCGAGGAUGGGGUGGGGGGGGGGCGGCCUGGGGCCUGGAGGGCGGCCUGGCCUCCCUGAGGCGCCAUGGGUGCGCGGUCGAGACCGCCCCCUCAUCCGGCUGGUCGGAGUUGGCGGGGCGGGGCGCCAAUGCCAGGGAACCCUUACAAGGGCCGCGAGGCCUUGCUGGAUGUGGUGACCGCAGAGCUUGGGCGGCCGCGACUUUGGUCGUGGUCGGGGUCCUGUAAGUGUUCCGGUCCUAGUUAUCUUGAACUGGAACUUGUUUCUCCGAAGAGGCCUCUGCGUGUUGAGUAUGUGUCGGGCUUGGCAUCAUCAGACCCCCUGAAACCUGCAAGAAAAUCAUGGAAGGGCUGAAGCUUACCGUGAAUAAUAAAACCCGUUAUUUGUUGAGCAUUAGCUGUGUGUCAGGUCCUGUGCCACGUUACAUAUGAUACUGUUUAGUUCGUUACCGUUGGUUUCAUCUUCCACGUGAGCAGACUGAGGCUUAGAGCGAUGUAGAAUAAAUUGAUGUCCGAGCUGGAAUUCUUGGUUUGGGAGUUCAGUAAGGUGAAAGAAAAGGACUGCAGUCUUACACUCGCCUUGCUUUUUAUUUGUAAUACCUGUGAUUGGUUAAAGUCGAUCGUUGGUCACAAAAUGGUCACUCUGUAGUAUUUUCUUUAAUGGUACCCCAGAGUUUGGAUUUGGCCAAUUUUUAUGCAAGAUUUCAGCAGUAUUCGUUGAUGGUGACAAACUACUACCGUAAUGCCAGUUUGGCCCUCUUGUGCCAUUAGGAUGACCAGCGCUGUCUUUGAAAAGUUAAUAUAACAGGAUACCCAUAAAGCUUUGCUUGUUUUAUUCAUUCGGGAUAAGCGCACAGUUUGUUAAGAAAAAUGGGUCUUAGACUGAAGAGGAAGAAACCUUUUUACUUUCUAAUAGAGCUUCGGGUAUAGUAAGACCAUAAUUUAUGUUGAAGGUAUUGGAACCCAGUAGUGGUAAUUAUUUAUAUUUUAUUUGGGAGAUAUAAACUAUUUUUAGGGGUUUGCUCAGUGACCUUUUCUUUCAUUAUUCUCUUCAGAUACCAAACUUCUGUCUGACCAAGAAAGCUGUGAUCAUAUAAUUUCAGAGGUUUAGAUACAGUGUUUUGAGAGUCAUGCUGCUGACUCCUCGAAGGAUGUAGUGCAUAGAAUAAGAGAAUUUGAGCAAUAAAGGAGAUGUUACUCUCAUCGCCAGUGUUGUCCCCUCUGAUUUAUAUUUAUAUUUUGAAACCCUUCAGUGGCUCACUGUUGCUCAUCUGAUAAAGUUUAAAUUUUCCUGCGUGCUCUGUAGCGCUCUUUAUGAUCUCUUUCUGGAGCUUUAUGUAUUUGGUCACUCCCCAUUUUGCAUUUUAGGUAUGAGCCACCCUGAACAGUACCCUGAACUUAUUUUCAUCUGAUAGUGUAGCUAUUUGUCUUUAUACCUUGUCUUUCUUAUUAGAUUGUUAGUAUUCUGAGGGCAGGAAUUAUUUUCAUGUUCAUAUUUUCCAGAAUCUCAAGCAUUUGGCCUGCCUUCUAGUAAGCCGUUAAUAAAUACAGGAAGCAUAGUUUAGCUUUAUGGCCUCAUGUGAAUUAUAUCGCCUCCAAGACUGCUGGAGACACCUCAACAAAACUAACAUUUUGCCAUCACUCAGUUGGUCUCCCCACGUGUGCUUCGUUCUCUUGCUUCUAACCAGCUUAAUUGGAUUACUCCUGGGAUCCUAAACCCAAAUAAAUGCCAGGUUUGAAAACAUCGGUGACUUGUGGUAGCUCACCUUUCCUGUGGUGAUGGGAGAUGAUGAAGUGUCUAUGUGAUGAGAUGAAGUGAGGUGAAUGACAGGCAUUGUGAAGUAGCACCAGGCUACGAACAUGCAUCUGAAGGAGGGUCAUCUGCUUCCGUACUACAGCGGGCUACAGGGUAGUAGAUCCCAUGGCUCAAGAUUCACUUGUGAACUUUUACCAAAAGAAGAGUAGAGGCAGGCCUGCAACCGCAGAUCAUGCACACACAGUCCUGUCUUGCCCUCCCCUCGCCCUGCACCUAAGGUUGUUGGGUCCUGCUUGUAGGUUAUUACUUGGCAGGUUAAAAAAAAAAAAAAACCACAUGCCAGAAAUGCUGCUGUCAUCUUGUAUUUCUUACUGUAGCUUGUUAGCAACUAAAAGGUUUCAUUGAAUCCUUGCUUCUUCGGACAUUUUGUCUUCAGGUUCCAAAUCUUGCUGCUGCUUCCUUGAGAAUUUUGCCUUUUGUCUUUUUCUCUUUCCACGCGGUAACUAUUUGGGCCAUAAUUAUCCCUGAGUUUAGUCAGGAUAGUGUACUUUAUAAUAUAGUUUGCCAUCUAGUAACACUAUUAGGUCGAAAGUAUGGUUAGUGACCCAAAUGUUUGUGGAGUUCUGAGUUACAACUAACAAAUAGUUACCAUCAUGAGAAGAGGACAGUAAUAGUAACACUUGAGUGCUUGCCACAUGCCAGACGCUCUUCUAGGCACUUUGCAUGUGUUGAAUGAAUUAAUUAACCAAUUUAUUUAUUUAUUAUUUUUUAUACCUGUAUUAAAUUUAAUCCUCCCAAUAAUCUCACAGAGUAUGUGCUACUGUCCUUAUUUGACAUAUGAAGAACAGAGAGAGUAAGGAAUAUACCCAAAACUUGACAGCUAGUGAGUGGCACAGUUGUGAUUUGAUCACAGACCUGAGGUCUGACUCUAGAACAUUCAGUCUGUUAUCCUGUACUGUCUUUCAAAGGGAGAAAAGGAUACGUGUUUCUGUUUUAGUUCAUUCUUGUCAUUGUAUAGAACUUGUACAAGGGUCCUGAUGUUUCUAAAUUCCUGAGUUAGUCAUUCAGAAGCUAUAAUGAUAGUUACCUUUAAAAUAAUAUGCACACACUGUAUAGUCAAGUGUUCUACCACAGACUGAUUGUCAACCUGAAGAAGACAGAGUCCAAGUAGGAGCCUAAUUGAAGGAAAUCACAUCGUCAGAUUUUCACCAUCUACGGCAAAGCUGCAAGCUGAUUGACCUCUGCUGCUAUGGUAGCCUUCCUGGAAAAGACGCAUGGGUUUGUUUGUUUGUUUGUUUGUUUGUUUAAUUUGAGAGAGAUUGUGUACACGAGCAGGGGAGAGGGGCAGAGGGAGAGAGAAAGAGAAUCCCAAGCAGGCUCUAUGCUAAGCGUGGAGCCUGA